AUUGAACGCUGGCGGAAUGCUUUACACAUGCAAGUCGAACGGCAGCACGGACUUCGGUCUGGUGGCGAGUGGCGAUCGGGUGAGUAAUGUAUCGGAACGUGCCCAGUCGUGGGGGAUAACGUAGUGAAAAUUACGCUAAUACCGCAUACGAUCUAUGGAUGAAAGCGGGGGAUCGCAAGACCUCGCGCGAUUGGAGCGGCCGAUAUCAGAUUAGGUAGUUGGUGGGGCAAAGGCCCACCAAGCCAACGAUCUGUAGCUGGUCUGAGAGGACGACCAGCCACACGGGAACUGAGACACGGUCCAGACUCCUACGGGAGGCAGCAGUGGGGAAUUUUGGACAAUGGGCGCAAGCCUGAUCCAGCCAUUCCGCGUGCAGGAUGAAGGCCCUCGGGUUGUAAACUGCUUUUGUACAGAACGAAAAGGUUUCUACUAAUACUAGGAGCUCAUGACGGUACUGUAAGAAUAAGCACCGGCUAACUACGUGCCAGCAGCCGCCGUAA
rnacentral:rRNA from 1 species